rnacentral:rRNA from 1 species
AUACGUAGGUGACAAGCGUUAUCCGGAUUUACUGGGCGUAAAGGGCGUGUAGGCGGUCUUGCAAGUCAGAAGUGAAAUUCCUGAGCUCGACUCGGGCGCUGCUUCUGAAACUGCAGGACUUGAGUGCUGGAGGGGAUAGCGGAAUUCCUAGUGGAGCGGUAAAAUGCGCAGAUAUUAGGAAGAACACCGGUGGCGAAGGCGGCUAUCUGGACAGUAACUGACGCUGAGGCGCGAAAGUGUGGGGAGCAAACAGGAUUAGAUACCCUGGUAGUCCACACUGUAAACGAUGAAUGCUAGGUGUAGGGGGUAUCGACCCCUUCUGUGCCGCAGUCAACACAAUAAGCAUUCCGCCUGGGGAGUACGGCCGCAAGGUUGAAACUCAAAGGAAUUGGCGGGG